rnacentral:rRNA from 1 species
AAAAGAAACCAACAGGGAUUGCCUUAGUAACGGCGAGUGAAGCGGCAACAGCUCAAAUUUGAAAUCUGGUUACUUCGUAGCCCGAGUUGUAAUUUGUAGAGGAUGCUUUUGGUGAGGUGCUUUCUGAGUUCCCUGGAACGGGACGCCAAAGAGGGUGAGAGCCCCGUACAGUUAGAUACCAAUCCUUUGUAUAGCUCCUUCGACGAGUCGAGUAGUUUGGGAAUGCUGCUCUAAAUGGGAGGUAUAUCUCUUCUAAAGCUAAAUAUAGGCUAGAGACCGAUAGCGCACAAGUAGAGUGAUCGAAAGAUGAAAAGCACUUUGAAAAGAGAGUUAAACAGCACGUGAAAUUGUUGAAAGGGAAGCGCCUAUGACCAGACUUGUUUCUAUCAGUUUUGGUAGUUUUCGGACUGCUUUACUCUGUUAGUACAGGCCAACAUCAGUUUGUUGUCGGGGAGAAAGGUUUAGGGAAUGUGGCUCUUUCGGGAGUGUUAUAGCCCUUUACAUAAUACCCUUCGGCAGACUGAGGA